CAGGUUGGUUGCUGUGCAGAGAAGAACAUUUAUCCCUCAACACCGUUAGUGCGUUUCAGGCUUGUGCAUUAGACCUGCUUGCGUUCCCAUUCCGCUUGAGGAUUCCCCAGUCUUCGUUAUCCUUGGUUGAAAUCGUCUGAAAUCUCGGUUAGACAACUUGAAACGCGAGAGUGCUGCAAGGCUCGGAAACUACGCAGUUGCCUAACACACGGGGAAGAACAGCAAUCAGUCUCUACAAACACUGUAUUCUCUCCACGAGAAAACUUGAGAAUAGGAGAACCAUGGGAUUGAGUGAAAGUAAGAUGGCUGACUGGUCAAGUGAAGUACAGGCGAUGGACUCGGGGCCACCAUGUCGUGCUGGAGAUGACAGAGCUCCACCAAAGGGAGUCACAGACAGCCAAUCCGAGGCGCGAGGUCAAACACCCCGAACUGAACCUCUUUGAGAUGCCUCCACGAUGCUGAUGUGAGACGCUGUCCAUGGUAAAAAACAACGUCAUUGCGUUGACAGCAUCAAACCUUUCGUAAAACAAACUGUUCACGAGUAUCAUAUAUAAUUUUAGCAGAAGUUCUGAAUGUUUCAAUAAAUAUCAUUCUGAAA